CCUACGGGUGGCUGCAGUGGAGAAUAUUGGGCAAUGGAGGCAACUCUGACCCAGCAACGCCGCGUGAAUGAUGAAGGUCUUCGGAUUGUAAAGUUCUUUUAUAAGGGAAGAAGAAAGUGACGGUACCUUAGGAAUAAGCCUCGGCUAACUACGUGCCAGCAGCCGCGGUAAUACGUAGGAGGCAAGCGUUAUCCGGAAUGACUGGGCGUAAAGGGUGCGUAGGUGGUUUGACAAGUUAGUAGCGCAACUCCGGAGCUCAACUUCGGAACUACUACUAAAACUGUUUGACUUGAGUGCAGGAGUGGCAAUCGGAAUUCCUAGUGUAGCGGUGAAAUGCGUAGAUAUUAGGAGGAACACCGGUGGCGAAGGCGGCUUACUGGACUGUAACUGACGUUGAGGCUCGAAAGCGUGGGGAGCAAACAGGAUUAGAUACCCGAGUAGUC
rnacentral:rRNA from 1 species